AGCGACUCUCAUGCCUCAGCCUCCUGAAUAGCUGGGAUUACAGGAAGAGCCAACUUUCUGAAGGAGACAGAAUCAUCAUGCCUUCACAUUCCUAAAGAUGGGGGGCUGAUCCUCGCUCUGCGGAUGGGACUAUCUUAAACAGAGAAGUGUCACCUACCAGCCAGCCCAAAUCCCUGAGGCUUGAGUGCUAAAGUGCUGAACUCAGAAGCUGUUUGUGAGUAAACCACACAGAAGUCAACUUGUGGAAUGCUAGGAUGAGAGGUCCAGCAGGGGUCUGAGGGAUGCCCUACUCUGUGACAUGCCGGAGCAAAGGGACAUAAAAUAACAGGCAGAAAACCAUAAUCCAAUAUGGGAAGUCACCCCAGAGGUGACCCUGGAGAAACCCCAGAGAGCAGCCAGAGCUCUGGAAAGAAACAAACAAGGACACAAGUGCCCCAACUACAUCCUUUUCAAGAUGCGAAUGCUUUCCACUUUCACCCAAGACUCUCAAAGCCUAUGUGUUCAGUGGGCAAAGAACAAGACGACAAGAUGACUUGGUCCAAGACUGCAUGGGCAGCCAACUGUGCAGCAGGAAGUGGCUGAGGCCUCCAGCUUGGAAAUGACAGGAUCUUGUUCUGUCAUCCAGGCUGGAGUGCAGUGGCAGGACCACAGCUCACUACAGCCUCAAACUCCUGGGCUCAAAUGAUCCUCCCACCUCAGUCUCUAGAGUAUCCGGGACUACGGGCACAGGCCACUACACUACACUACACAGGCUCUAGAAGUUUAAAGUGGAGGUUCCUCUUUAGAAGAGUUGCCCUGUCCAGAGUUUCUACAUGGCCAUGCUUAGAAGGAGUCAAAUGGCUGUACCAGAUGCAGUUCCUCUAGAAUUCAGGCUUGUAGCUGUAACUGUCCUCUUGCUGCUUGAUCCCUCUGUUACCUUUCUGGAAUCUCCCCUGAGGAUUGUCUGUCCCAUUUCUGCAUCAAAAGCCUGAAGGUUUUGUUUGCUGGGUCUCUCAAGAUGCAAGAUUUGGCAACGUACAGAAGAAAAUACACUGUUCUGAUGCAGCACAGCUUUUGGAGCCAAGUAGACAUGGCUUUGAGACCUUGGUCUAGUUAUUCAACUUUUCUGUUGGUCUAGUUAUUCAAACUUUCAGAGUUUGAUUCCUGGAAAUGGUAACACUCUCUAUCUUAUGGAAUGCUAUGAAGAUCAAAAGAGAUGUCAAAACUCUUGAGCCUAGUGGGUGAAAGAUUGAAGAUACAAGUAAAAUUUUUAUGUUCCCAGUUUCUAUGGGGCCAGAGAAUUGGAUACUAGUUCACGGAAAUGACUGUUUCCCAAAUUUCCCCAAUAAUAAGAAUUUCUUAUGGUAUUUGUUAAAAAUACAAUUUCCUUGGUCUCGUUGCAGACUUGAUGAUUCAGAAAUUCCAAGACUUGGAAGCUAAGGAACUAUAUUUUUAACAAACACUCCUUAUGAUUCAUACCAUGAGAAAAGUUGCAAAAACACUGAU